ensembl:snRNA U6 U6 spliceosomal RNA
GUGCUUGCUUCGGCAGCACAUAUGCUAAAAUUGGAAUGAUACAGAGAAGAUUAGCAUGGCCCCUAAUCCUUGCGCAAGGAUGACAUGCAAAUUCGUGAAGCGUUCCGUAUUUUU